GUGUCAGCAGCCGCGGUAAUACCGGCGGCUCGAGUGGUAGCCGAUAUUAUUGAGUCUAAAGGGUCCGUAGCCGGCUUUGCAAGUCUUUUGGGAAAUCCAGCGGCUUAACCGUUGGUCGUCCGGGAGAUACUACAUUGCUUGGGACUGGGAGAGGUAAGAGGUACUCAGGGGGUAGGAGUGAAAUCCUGUAAUCCUUUGGGGACCACCGGUGGCGAAGGCGUCUUACCAGAACAGGUCCGACGGUGAGGGACGAAAGCUAGGGGCACGAACCGGAUUAGAAACCCCCGUAGUCC
rnacentral:rRNA from 1 species